UACAGAGGGUGCGAGCGUUAAUCGGAAUUACUGGGCGUAAAGCGCGCGUAGGCGGCUUUGCAAGUCGAGUGUGAAAUCCCCAGGCUUAACCUGGGAACUGCAUUCGAGACUGCAUAGCUAGAGUAUGGGAGAGGGAAGUGGAAUUUCAGGUGUAGCGGUGAAAUGCGUAGAUAUCUGAAGGAACAUCAGUGGCGAAAGCGACUUCCUGGACCAAUACUGACGCUCAUGCGCGAAAGCGUGGGGAGCAAACAGG
rnacentral:rRNA from 1 species